rnacentral:rRNA from 1 species
CGGCGGCCACUAGCAAACAUGAACCACUCCAAACCAUUCCGACUUUGGUUGUGAAAAAGUUUUACGGCAAAAGUACUGUUAGUAAGCACUAAUGGGAGAAUAGCAAGGUGCUGGGCG